rnacentral:rRNA from 1 species
GAUGAACGCUGGCGGCGUGCCUAAUACAUGCAAGUCGAGCGAACAGACGAGGAGCUUGCUCCUCUGACGUUAGCGGCGGACGGGUGAGUAACACGUGGAUAACCUACCUAUAAGACUGGGAUAACUUCGGGAAACCGGAGCUAAUACCGGAUAAUAUAUUGAACCGCAUGGUUCAAUAGUGAAAGACGGUUUUGCUGUCACUUAUAGAUGGAUCCGCGCCGCAUUAGCUAGUUGGUAAGGUAACGGCUUACCAAGGCAACGAUGCGUAGCCGACCUGAGAGGGUGAUCGGCCACACUAGAACUGAGACACGGUCCAGACUCCUACGGGAGGCAGCAGUAGGGAAUCUUCCGCAAUGGGCGAAAGCUUUGCGGAGCAACGCCGCGUGAGUGAUGAAGGUCUUCGGAUCGUGAAGCUCUGUUAUUAGGUAUGAACAAAUGUGUAAGUAGCUAUGCACGUCUUGACGGUACCUAAUCAGGAAGCCCCGGCUAACUACGUG